rnacentral:rRNA from 1 species
UACGAAGGGUGCAAGCGUUACUCGGAAUUACUGGGCGUAAAGCGUGCGUGGGUGGUUUGUUAAGUCUGUUGUGAAAGCCCCGGGCUCAACCUGGGAAUGGCAAUGGAUACUGGCAAGCUAGAGUGCGGUAGAGGGUAGUGGAAUUCCCGGUGUAGCGGUGAAAUGCGUAGAGAUCGGGAGGAACACCAGUGGCGAAGGCGGCUACCUGGACCAGCACUGACACUGAGGCACGAAAGCGUGGGGAGCAAACAGG